rnacentral:rRNA from 1 species
GUGGGGAAUCUUCCGCAAUGGACGAAAGUCUGACGGAGCAACGCCGCGUGAGUGAAGAAGGUUUUCGGAUCGUAAAGCUCUUUCGUUAGGGACGAACGUGCUCUUUGUGAAUAAUGAGGAGUAAUGACGGUACCUAAAUAAGAAGCCACGGCUAACUACGUGCCAGCAGCCGCGGUAAUACGUAGGUGGCAAGCGUUGUCCGGAUUUAUUGGGCGUAAAGCGCGCGCAGGCGGGAUAUCAAGUCUGUCUUAAAAGUGCGAGGCUCAACCUCGUGAGGGGACAGAAACUGGUAUUCUUGAGUGUCGGAGAGGAAAGUGGAAUUCCAAGUGUAGCGGUGAAAUGCGUAGAGAUUUGGAAGAACACCAGUGGCGAAGGCGACUUUCUGGACGAUGUCUGACGCUGAGGCGCGAAAGCUAGGGGAGCGAACGGGAUUAGAAACCCGGGUAGUCC